rnacentral:lncRNA from 1 species
UUUGUAUAGAUAUUUCUUUCAGGAUUUAGGGGCGUAGCUCUUCUUAGUCUAUCUAACCUUGUCACAUCUCCGUUGUCCGGCGUAAACGGCAGUAUCUCUG